UACGAAGGGGGCUAGCGUUGCUCGGAAUCACUGGGCGUAAAGGGUGCGUAGGCGGGUCUUUAAGUCAGGGGGGAAAUCCUGGAGCUCAACUCCAGAACUGCCUUUGAUACUGAGGAUCUUGAGUCCGGGAGAGGUGAGUGGAACUGCGAGUGUAGAGGUGAAAUUCGUAGAUAUUCGCAAGAACACCAGUGGCGAAGGCAGCUGACUACGCGGUAAUUGACACUGAGGCACGAAAGCGUGGGGAUCAAACAGG
rnacentral:rRNA from 1 species